CCUGCAAUCACCUUAUUCCCCUCACCUGAGUGCCCCACCCAUCUCCUCAACUGGUUCCCAUUAUCCUCAUCAGUCACCCUUCAUAUACUGGCCUGGUUCCACCUACACCUUACCAGAUUGUCUUGUGUUUCUUGCCUAGUCAUCCAGCAUUCCCCUGCCUGUUUCCUGGCUGAAGAUUUUGCUUGUUAUCUUUGGAGCAGGGCAAGGAGCUUCUGUUCAACAUGGGACAGAUUGGCUUGAGCUCUGCAUAAGAGACACAAAGAGUUCUGGAAAUACAUCAGAUGUCUGAACACCAGACCAGACCCAGACACAGCAUCCACUGGAAAGAAGUCACAUCAUCGACCAGGAGUCUAUGGACAGCCAGAGAAAGAUCAAGGAGGGUAAUGCCAGAUCAUGUUUGAACUCCACCGUAUACAACUAGGUGUUAUCAUGUAAGAGAAAUUGGUCACAUGAUAAAAAAACUGUUCCAUUAAGAAGUGAGCAACUCUUUCCACUGAGAAAGGCCACAAGAUGUGGCUGAAAGCUUCAGAAACAACAAUUCGGACCUUGUGUUCAGA